CCUCGGUGUGCAUCGCCCUCGUGUCUCCACGACGCCGCUAAUUUCAACGUCGACGCAAUUCUGAUCUGCCACAGUUUGCGUCCACACUGACAAUGCGGUUUACGGAAGUGCAAUUGUGGUAGACGCCGUACCGGGAGAUCUCGAAAUUUUUUAUACGUCAAAAAUGCUAUAACCAUCAAUUCGUGAUUUUUUACGCAUGAUUUGCAACUCGUAAAUAAAUUCGCGAAGUGCUCGAAUUGAUCGCGCAUUUUUCGAUUAAGUGCCGUUGAAUUGAUUGUGGUCGCGAGUGUGAUAUAGUGAAAUGAAUAAAAUCGGUGCGAGACGACGGCUGGAUGCUGGACGGGUAAAACGAGGCGGUCGGUGUGUAGCAGUGGAUUUUAUCGUGGAUCUGGACGGCUGAACAUCGCUGAAUAUCAUCGCGAAAACGGUGAGUGUACAAUUCAAGCGCUCACAGAGUGUCACAUCAUGUAGUGCGUGUUUAGACGUGAAUCUCGCAUGGAUUUCCGAGGAGGACAAACCGCGCGAAUGUCGUAUAUAUUUUGACAAUUCGAAGUCGCUCAAAACAGAUUUAAGAAUGGUGCACGCUCGCAAUAUCUAGCGAUAUGUCUUAUACAAGCAGCUUCGCCAUUGCUUCGCUUAAUUCCCGAUAAAGCCUUCAACGUUCGUACGUCUCAAGUUGCUUAAUUCAAUUAAUUUUAUCAUCGUGACGCGAAACUUUCGCGAAAGCAGCUGCGGCGGAAGCUCCGAAACUCCGUAGAAUUUUACGUAGAAUCCUAAUUACACACGAUUCCCGUUUUUCCAAACAGACAAAAUAGCACGCCAAGUAUCUCGCAGAGCUAUUCUAUCGUUAACAAACAACGUCAUUAAUCUCCGCGGAUAAAUAGAACUCAUUCUUUCGCGGAAACGCGAGAAAAACGAUGCCUUUCUAAAAACGCGCGCUUUUAGCUCCCUCGCGCCUCGCCUCGUAUUUUGUGUGCAUCGCGCAAUUUCAAUCUCGACCGGUCCGACCUUGCGUACGAGAGCGUUGGAAGUAACACAGAAGCGCAAUAUGCAGUCGCGCGCGUUCGCAUUUCACGAGUCGAUCCAAAAAUUUACGCGCCUGCGAAAAUAAAAGGAACGACCGAUGCAAAAAAAAAAUAAAAUAUAGAGAAAGAGAGAAGGAAAGGGAGAGGGAG